rnacentral:rRNA from 1 species
UACGGAGGGUGCGAGCGUUAAUCGGAAUUACUGGGCGUAAAGGGUGCGUAGGUUGUUAAGUAAGUUAUCUGUGAAAUUCCUGGGCUUAACCUGGGACGGUCAGAUAAAACUGCUUGACUCGAGUAUGGGAGAGGGUAGUGGAAUUUCCGGUGUAGCGGUGAAAUGCGUAGAGAUCGGAAGGAACACCAGUGGCGAAGGCGGCUACCUGGCCUAAUACUGACACUGAGGCACGAAAGCGUGGGGAGCAAACAGG